rnacentral:rRNA from 1 species
GAUGAACGCUGGCGGCGUGCCUAAUACAUGCAAGUCGAGCGAACGGACGAGAAGCUUGCUUCUCUGAUGUUAGCGGCGGACGGGUGAGUAACACGUGGAUAACCUACCUAUAAGACUGGGAUAACUUCGGGAAACCGUAGAUAAUACCGGAUAAUAUUUUGAACCGCAUGGUUCAAAAGUGAAAGACGGUCUUGCUGUAACUUAUAGAUGGAUCCGCGCUGCAUUAGCUAGUUGGUAAGGUAACGGCUUACCAAGGCAACGAUGCAUAGCCGACCUGAGAGGGUGAUCGGCCACACUGGAACUGAGACACGGUCCAGACUCCUACGGGAGGCAGCAGUAGGGAAUCUUCCGCAAUGGGCGAAAGCCUGACGGAGCAACGCCGCGUGAGUGAUGAAGGUCUUCGGAUCGUAAAGCUCUGUUAUUAGGGAAGAACAUAUGUGUAAGUAACUGUGCACAUCUUGACGGUACCUAAUCAGAAAGCCACGGCUAACUACGUG